CACCGGCGGCUCGAGUGGUGGCCACUUUUAUUGGGUCUAAAGCGUCCGUAGCCGGCUUGGCAAGUCCCCUGGGAAAUUUGGCGGCUUAACCGUCAGGCGUCCAGAGGAUACUGCCAGGCUUGGGACCGGGAGAGGUGAGAGGUACCUCAGGGGUAGGGGUGAAAUCUUGUGAUCCCUGAGGGACCACCAGUGGCGAAGGCGUCUCACUAGAACGGGUCCGACGGUCAGGGACGAAAGCUGGGGGCACGAACCGG
rnacentral:rRNA from 1 species